rnacentral:tRNA from 1 species
GGGGAUUUAGCUCAGCGGUAGAGCACUUGCCUAGCAAGCACAAGGUCCUGGGUUCGGUCCCCAGCUCCG